UACAUGUGGGGCAAGCGUUGUUCGGAAUUACUGGGCGUAAAGGGCGCGCAGGCGGCUCGACAAGUCAGAUGUGAAAGCCCCGGGCUCAACCUGGGAACGGCAUUUGGGACUGUCGGGCUAGAGUUCGGGAGAGGUGGGUGGAAUUCCCAGUGUAGAGGUGAAAUUCGUAGAUAUUGGGAAGAACACCGGUGGCGAAGGCGGCUCACUGGACCGAGACUGACGCUGAGGCGCGAAAGCGUGGGGAGCAAACAGG
rnacentral:rRNA from 1 species